AAAAAGAUAAGCUAAAUAAGCUAUUGGGUUCAUACCCCAAAUAUAAAGAUAUAAAUUCUUUUCUUUUUA
rnacentral:tRNA from 1 species